GGGGAUGUAGCUCAAAUGGUAGAGCGCUUGCUUUGCAUGUGAGAGGUGCACGGUUUGACACCCUGCAUCUCCA
rnacentral:tRNA from 1 species